CCGCAUCCGGCACCCGCGUUUCGUUAGGAGACGUUUCCCGUUUCCGAGAGCCUCUUCGGUGCUGGCCACGGGCGCCGCGACCCCCUGGACGGAGACCUGUGUCGUCACGCGUCAGGGCCAAGUGGAUUGAUGGUUCCCUCCCAGUGCUUCCGAGAUCCCUUACGUCAUCGCCAGGAUGCGUGCUUGUGGAAGCUGGUUUGCCCGUGACUUCGCAAUAGUGCCUUUCCUUUCACGGAACAAAGGAUUUCAGCUUCUCCAGAAUAAAUAACCACCACCCCAAUUUCAACCAUCUGAAUGUGGUAAACCUGUUGAUGGCAAUUUUGCUGACUGUGGAGGUAACU